CACGUAGGGUGCAAGCGUUGUCCGGAUUUAUUGGGCGUAAAGGGCUCGUAGGCGGUUCGACAAGUCGGGUGUGAAACCUCCAGGCUCAACCUGGAGUCGCCACUCGAAACUGUUGUGACUAGAGUCCGGUAGGGGAGCAUGGAAUUCCUGGUGUAGCGGUGGAAUGCGCAGAUAUCAGGAGGAACACCAGUGGCGAAGGCGAUGCUCUGGGCCGGUACUGACGCCGAGGAGCGAAAGCAUGGGGAGCGAACAGG
rnacentral:rRNA from 1 species